GUAGUCCACGCCGUAAACUAUGAAUACUAGCUGUAUGCCGUAUCGACCCGGUAUGUAGCGAAGCUAACGCGUUAAGUAUUCCGCCUGGGGAGUACGGUCGCAAGACUAAAACUCAAAGGAAUUGACGGGGACCCGCACAAGCGGUGGAGCGUGUUGUUUAAUUCGAUGGUAAGCGAAGAACCUUACCAAGGUUUGACAUCCUAGGAAUUUUGGUGAAAGCCGAGAGUGCCUUCGGGAACCUAGUGACAGGUGUUGCAUGGCCGUCGUCAGCUCGUGUCGUGAGAUGUUUGGUUAAGUCCAUCAACGAGCGCAACCCUUAUGGUUAGUUGUAUUUUUCUAGCCAGACUGCCCCGGUAACGGGGAGGAAGGGGGGGAUGAUGUCAGGUCAGUAUUACCCUUACACCUUGGGCAACAAACGCGCUACAAUGGCCGGUACAACGGGCUGCCAAGUCGUGAGACGGAGCAAAUCCCAUCAAAGCCGGUCCCAGUUCGGAUUGUAGGCUGAAACUCGCCUACAUGAAGCCGGAAUCGCUAGUAAUCGCAGAUCAGAAUGCUGCGGUGAAUACGUUCCCGGGUCUUGUACACACCGCCCGUCAAACCAUGAAAGUGGGGGGCACCCGAAGUCUGACUUUUGUCGGCCUAAGGUGAACCACAUGAUUGGGGUU
rnacentral:rRNA from 1 species